CAGCCCGGUCCCUUUUUCCGAGGAAGAGCUGGAUUUUUUCACCAGUACGCUCUGUGCCAUCGACCUGCAGUUUCCCUAACCUGUUUCCUCCUCCCGGUCCUUUCGACCCCCGCGCUCCUUGGCCGUCUACUGGAAAAAUCGAGCCUCUCCCACCCUCAGUCGCAUAGACUUAUGUGUUUUGCUAAAAUUCAGUGGAGCCCAACGGACGCUGAGGACGCGAGAUGGAAGGAGAGUCCGGGUGGAUGUGGGAAGGGAAGGAGAGCGGCGGGUCUGCGGGCCUGGGUGUGCCUCAUCCAGUCUGACUUUUGAUUCUUCGCUGUGGGAUUUGAAGCCAGGCCAGAGCUUUCUCUGAAUGCAGACCCACCAGUCUUGACCAACAACUUCAUUUCACGUAUCAACACCAUGUCCUGUCUAUCCCCCACCACACCCUGCCUGGUUCCUUGUAAACCUGGUAAGCGGGAAGCAAGGAUCGAUCUCCCCCAUCUGCCUCCUGGUUUGUUCUGGGAAGGUGGAGGUUUAAAGGUCCCCGGAAAGCCAUCCAUCCUCCUUAGGUUUCUUUAAUAUUUCUCCCGCUCAGAAACAGACACUACGGGGCUAUCUCCCCGGCAGAUGCUGCCCUUCUCAAAAAGCAGUUUAUUUCCUGGGCCUCCAGACUUUCCCCUGGACCAACAGGACCGGGAUUUAGAGUACCAGUCACCCAGAGGCAGCAAUUGUCAGGAUAAGCCAGGAGCCAACAUAGGUUGUGACACAGAGGACUAGACAGGCCCUUUGCAUAUUUUAAAAUGGGUCCCUCAGUGUGGGAAGUACACACCUCUUAGUUAGCUGGAACUUAAUCCCUUAAACUGUCUUAAUAUAGAAUUCAUCUCGUGCAUUAAUCUUACAUCAUGUUAAAUUGCACUUAUUUCUCUCAUAAAUAAAUAUAGAACAAUU
rnacentral:lncRNA from 1 species